CCAACUACUAUACGCAACUACUAUGUUGAUCGAGUCUUUCGUUGAUGCCGAGAUAUCGGCAAAUAUCUGUGGUCGUCUUCCCUCAUAUCAUUGCCCCCAUCCCCUUUCUAUGAUCAAUUGAAUCAACAAAUUACAGUAAGUCAUAGAAACACGUCUAUUUGCUUCCGGUUAAACCCUAGCUGUCAUCACCAACACCACCACUCUCCUUAUUCUUUCCUCCCGUCGGUGGCUUUCACCAGUGCUCCACAUAGUUUUCGCUUCUAAGAAUAAACUUGAGGGGGUUUGUUGCUAACCCAUUUUAGACUUUUUUGUUUUGGUUUUUGUUCGUUUUUACGUUUCUGUCUACGAACCCUAACCACCAGCCGCCGCCAACAACACCACUAAUGUUCCUGCUACCGCGACCACCAGUAACUGUCGUCGUCACCCACCCUUCAUCCUGGAAAACACACCACCAUAGCGUACCACUUACCACCACUAUUGUCUGAUGCUACCAUUGCAUGUUUCUUCCUUCACCACCCAACCAAUUAGGUUUUUACUGGACCAUACAACGCAAUAGAAGACAUACGUGGGUUAUUUGUUUGUUGGUGAAAUCGUACAAGCCUAAUUGCAUAUUGCUUAUCUCUUCUGAGAAGCAGAAGAACUCAAGAAAAAUUGUGAUUUCAUUAAAGGGACAUAGGAAAAGAUUUGUCAGGAACUCCUUACAAAUGACAAGAGGAAAGCUUCAUUAGAGCAUUUUAAUGGAACAACGGAGGGCACAUCUAGAAAGAAAGCAAAGGAACUGGCUGUUGAGGAUGCCCUUUGCAACAUGGUUGUUAUCAUGCUCCGGAUAGAAUGUUUGUUGUAUAAACAAUAUGAGGUGUCGAAGCAAUGGUCAUGUAGCUGGUGAAAAAUUUGGACCAAAAUACCCCUGUCAAUGGAAGAUGUGGUAUCACUUAUGAUAUUAAUGUUUUAGCAUUCUCUAUGUCUUAUUCCAAUAUUUAAUUGCUCUGUUGGUUCUUGGUGCAGGUCUGAGUCUAACUGUUUGUUUAUUACUUUUCAUUUGGUUUAGUUUUUAAAAGUUUCUCUAAUACUUCUUACCUGAUGAUCAACUUUGCAGCCGUGUUGUACCCAUCAUGAUCAAAAUGUUUCGUUUUGUUGCUUGUUCUUUACCGAUUAAAUUAACAUUUUCCAUUUUUCAUGUAGAUUGAAUAAUUUUUGUUUUAUGGAUCCUUAUUUUUGUUUUAUGGAUCCUUUUCAACAUGAAUUUCAUCUUAACUUGUAGCUGAAUCGGGUGAAUUUGCAGUUUAUUUUUUCAAGUAUUAUUUUCUUCUAAAUUUGCGAGAAAUGUCAAAAUUUAAGGGUUUAGCUUUA